GUCCACGCUGUAAACGAUGUUCACUAGGUGGUGGCGCAAUUGACCGCGUCGUUGCCGUAGCUAACGCGAUAAGUGAACCGCCUGGGGAGUACGGCCGCAAGGUUAAAACUCAAAGGAAUUGACGGGGGCCCCGCACAAGCGGUGGAGCAUGUGGUUUAAUUCGAAGCAACGCGCAGAACCUUACCUGGGUUUGACAUCCUCGGAAUCUUGCAGAGAUGUGGGAGUGCCCUUCGGGGAGCCGAGAGACAGGUGCUGCAUGGCUGUCGU
rnacentral:rRNA from 1 species